GAGGCCGUAGCUCAGUUGGUAGAGCAUCGGGCUGUGGCCCCGAGUGUCACGGGUUCGAGUCCCGUCGGCCUCC
rnacentral:tRNA from 1 species